rnacentral:rRNA from 1 species
GCGCACCCCAGGCGCGAAAACUCCGCAAUACGCGAGAGCGUGACGGGGCCAUCCCGAGUGCUGUCCGCUGAGGACGGCUUUUCCCCAGUGUAGAUAGCUGGGGGAAUAAGGUGAGGGCAAGUCUGGUGUCAGCCGCCGCGGUAAUACCAGCUCUCCGAGUGGUGGGGAUGUUUAUUGGGCCUAAAGCAUCCGUAGCUGGCUGGGCAAGUCCUCCGUUAAAUCCAACGAUUUAAUCGUUGGCCUGCGGAGGAUACUGUCCGGCUUGGAGGCGAGAGAGGCCAACGGUAUUCUCGGGGUAGGGGUGAAAUCCUAUAAUCCCGGGAAGACCACCAGUGGCGAAGGCUGUCGGCUAGAACGCGCUCGACGGUGAGGGAUGAAAGCUGGGGGAGCGAACCGGAUUAGAUACCCGUGUAGUCC